AAAAUUUUUAAUAACGGAUCUCUUAGUUUUGGCAUUAAUAAAGAACGUAGCGAAAUACGAUAAGUAAUAUAAAUUAUAGAAUUUAGUAAAUUAUUGAAUUUUUAAAUAUAUAUUGUAUUUACUAGUAUUUUAGCAAGUAUGUUUAUUCGAACGUUAUUUCAAUUAUUAAGUUCUAUUUACGUUAGGGAUCCGCGGUUAUCCGCGGUCCUUUAAAAUUAAUAAUAGGCUUAUUAAUUAUACCGAGUAUAGUAAUUCUAUAUCGCUAUAGUUGUACGGCAGGUUCUUACUGUAAAACCCCCUAUUUCUAAGGUUGACCUCGGAUUAAAUAGAAAUACCCAUUGAAUUUAAAUAUAUUAAUAAGCGGAAGAAAAAAAACUAAUAGGGAUUGCCUUAAUAAUAGCGAAUAAAGCAGUAAUAAUUUAAAUUUAAAAUUUAACUUCGGCCCGAAUUAUAAUUUAUAAAGGAAGCUUUUAGUAAGGUACCUUCUAAAUCCUUUAAAACGGGGCAUUAUAAAGGGUAAGAGCCCUAUAUAGUUGGAUACCGAUUUAAUAUAAAGCUCCUUCAACGAAUUAAAUAAUUUAGGAAUAUUAUUUAAAAUAGGAGGUAAAUUUCUUCUAAAAUUAAAUAUUAGCUAAAGAUUAAUAAUAUAUAAGUAGAGUAAUUAAAAAAUAAAAAGCACUUUAAAAAAAGGAUUAAAUAGUACGUAAAAUUAUUGAAAGGGAAGUAUUUAUAAUUAGAUUUACAUUAUUCCGAUUAUCCAGUAUUCUUAUUAAUAUAUUUAGGAUAAUUUAAACUAAUAUUAAUUUUAGUAGAGGGAUAAAGGUCCGGGGAAUAUAGUUCCUCCAGGAAUAUUAUAGUCUUAGGCGUAAUACCUUCGUUGGGACCGAAGUUCGUAUAUUUAUAAGGAUAUUAGUAUAAUAGUUAUUAACGACCCGUUUUAAAAUAUAGAUUAAGGAAUUAAAGUUUUAUACAAGUAUUUAGGUAUAAAACCCGUAUAUAUAAUAAAAGUGAAUAUAAGUGAGAGCUUCGGUAUAUUAUUAACCGAUUUUAAUAUAUUUGGAUAGAUUUGAGUAAGAGCGUUAAACCUUAAACUUAAAAGAUAAUAAAUUAUAUUUAGAUAGGGUGAAGCUAGAGGAAAUUCUAGUAGAGGUUCGUAGUGGUUUUGAUAUAUAAAUUGAUUAUUAAAUUUAAAUAUAGGAGCGAAAAAUUAAUUGAAUUAUUUAGUAGUUAAUUACUACCGAAAUUUCCCUUAGGAUAAUAGUAUUAUUCUUUAAUUUUAUAAGGUAAAGCGAAUAAUUAAGGACUCGGGGGCGCUUUUUAACCUUUAUUUAUUUUUAAACUUUAAAUAUAUAAGAAACCCUUAUUAUUUAAUUGAAUAUAAGUAUUCGAAUAUAUUAAUAUUAGUAGGCUAUUUUUAAUAAAUAGAAUUAGUAAUACGGAAUAAACCGAACGCAAAGUUAAAGUAUUGGAGUAGAUAUUUAUUAAAUACUAUAAAAAACAUUAAUAUAUUUUAAUAGUAGGAUAAUAAUUAUAAAAGUUAAAAUUUGCUAAGGAUUAUAUAAUAAUUUACUUACCGAAUGUACUAGCCCUAAAAAUAGAUAGCGCUUAAGCGUCCUACUUAUAUUCCGCCUUUAAGGUAGAAAUAAUAUUUUAAGGAAUAGGCGGCCGUAGAAGUUAAUAACGAAGUUUAGGGCGUAAGCCCGGGUCGAACAACUUCUAAUAUAAAUUUUAGUAAUAGUAAUAAAUAUUUUAAUAAGAAUUUGAAGGACCGAAGUAGGGAAAGGUUCUAUAUAAAUAGCGGUUGGAUAUAGGUUAGUCGAUCCUAAACUAUAGGGAAGUUCCGUUUUAAAGGGGUACUUGUACUUCGUAUAGUAAAAAGGAAGCCGGUUAAUAUUCUAGUACUUAAAUAUAAGUUUUGUACAGCAAUAUAAUUGAAUGCGGAGACGACGGCGGGGGCCUUAGGUAGAGUUCUUUUUUCUUUUUAAUAAUUUAUUACUUUAAAAAUAAUUUAUUUGGAGAUAGGGUUUAAUAGCCGGAAGAGCCCAAUACUUUUAUUAGGUCCAAUAUAUUCUUAAUAUCCCUUAAAAAUCUAUAGGAGGGAAUAAUUCUUACACUAAAUUAUACUUAUAAUUAUAAUAAGUUUUUAAGGUGAAUAGCCUUUAAUUAAUAGAAUAAUAUAGAUAAAGGAAGUUAGUAAAAUAGAUCCGUAAUUUCGGGAAAAGGAUUAACUUUAAGGGUUAGGUAUAUUGGGUUUUGGGUAGACGUCUUAGGAGUAGAUUACUAUUAGCCGGGCAAUUAGUUAACGGUUUUUAAUAUCCGGGUAUAGAAGUCUUUAAUAGACUUCGGUCGUCUAAUAUAUAUUUAAUAAUUAAUUUAAAAUUAGUACGGAUAGGGGGAAUUUGAUUAUUUAAUUAAAAUAUAGUAUUACAAUAGUUAAAAAAUAGUAUUAACGUAAUAUAAUUUUUGUUUAGUAUUUUGAAUAUUAAAGUGAAGAAAUUUAAUUAAGCGCGGGUAAAUAGUGGGAGUAAUUAUAAUUUUCUUAAGGUAGCUAAAUACUUUAUUAUUUAAUUAGUAAUAUAUAUAAAUAGAUUAACGAGAUUCCUAUUAUCCUUAUCUAUUAUUUAGCGAAAUUAUAGUUAAGGGAAUAGGUUUAGUAGAAUUAGUAGGGAAAGAAGACCCUAUUGAAUUUAAUUUUAAUUUAAUAUUAUAAAAAAAUAUAAGAAGUAUAGAAUAAGUAGGAACUUUGGCGCUAGUAAAAUAUUAUUAUUCCUAUUAUUUUUUUACUUAUUUAAUUAAGCGGAGCUAGAUUUUCGUUUAAUUUUUAGUUUUAAAGUCCUUCGCGGGCCGACUUGGGUUAAAAAUAUUAUUAAGUAGGGAGUUUAGUUAGGGCGGUAUAUUUAUUAAAUUAUAAUAUAAGUGUUCUAAGGGGGGCUUAUAGAGAAUAGAAAUUUUUAGUAGAAUAAAAGGGUAAAAGUCCUUUUGAUUUUGAUUUUUAGUAUAAAUAUAAAUUAUGAAAGUAUAACCUAUCGAUCCUUUAGUCCUUCGAAAUUUAAGGCUAGAGGUACUAAAAAAAUUACUAUAGGGAUAAUUGGUUUGUAGCGGUUAAAUGUUUAUAGUAAUAUUAUUUUUUAAUCUUUUAAUAUUAGUUCUUCUUAUUAUAUUGAAGUAGAAUUCGGUAAGUGUUAGAUUGUUUAUUUAUUAAUAGGGAAUAUGAGCUGGGUUUAGAUUAUUGUAAGAUAGGUUAGUUUUACUUUAUUAAUAACUUUAUUAUAAUAGUAAUUAAAUUUAGUACGAAAAGAACCGUUUAUUUAAAUAAUUGGUUUUUAUAGUUAUCUAACUAGGUAGUACUAUAAUACUACUAUCUAUUAGAUAAUAAUUAAACGCUUUUAAAUUAGAAUUUAUACUAGAAUAUAAUAAUACUUCUAAUACAUUAUAAAUAUAUAAGAAUAGGUUCUAGCCUUAUAUUUUAAUAAGCGAUUCCUCUAUUGGUUUUAAAGUAGCUAGUAGUAAUUUACGUAUUAUAAUUUUA
rnacentral:rRNA from 1 species